CGCUGGCGGCGUGCCUAAUACAUGCAAGUCGAGCGAAUGGAUUGAGAGCUUGCUCUCAAGAAGUUAGCGGCGGACGGGUGAGUAACACGUGGGUAACCUGCCCAUAAGACUGGGAUAACUCCGGGAAACCGGGGCUAAUACCGGAUAACAUUUUGAACUGCAUGGUUCGAAAUUGAAAGGCGGCUUCGGCUGUCACUUAUGGAUGGACCCGCGUCGCAUUAGCUAGUUGGUGAGGUAACGGCUCACCAAGGCAACGAUGCGUAGCCGACCUGAGAGGGUGAUCGGCCACACUGGGACUGAGACACGGCCCAGACUCCUACGGGAGGCAGCAGUAGGGAAUCUUCCGCAAUGGACGAAAGUCUGACGGAGCAACGCCGCGUGAGUGAUGAAGGCUUUCGGGUCGUAAAACUCUGUUGUUAGGGAAGAACAAGUGUUAGUUGAAUAAGCUGGCACCUUGACGGUACCUAACCAGAAAGCCACGGCUAACUACGUGCCAGCAGCCGCGGUAAUACGUAGGUGGCAAGCGUUAUCCGGAAUUAUUGGGGCGUAAAAGCGCGCGCAGGUGGUUUCUUAAGUCUGAUGUGAAAGCCCACGGCUCAGCC
rnacentral:rRNA from 1 species